UUGUUCAGGGUGGAGAAGCAGGGUACGUGCAUUCCAACCACAUUUCCUCCUCUCAGCGAAGAGUGUGCUGGUUCUUCAUGUGCCCAUCUUCUCCAUCAUGAACAA
rnacentral:pre_miRNA from 1 species